rnacentral:rRNA from 1 species
AUUGAACGCUGGCGGCAUGCCUUACACAUGCAAGUCGAACGGCAGCACGGGAGCAAUCCUGGUGGCGAGUGGCGAACGGGUGAGUAAUAUAUCGGAACGUGCCCAGUCGUGGGGGAUAACGUAGCGAAAGCUACGCUAAUACCGCAUACGAUCUAUGGAUGAAAGCGGGGGAUCGCAAGACCUCGCGCGAUUGGAGCGGCCGAUAUCAGAUUAGGUAGUUGGUGAGGUAAAGGCUCACCAAGCCGACGAUCUGUAGCUGGUCUGAGAGGACGACCAGCCACACUGGGACUGAGACACGGCCCAGACUCCUACGGGAGGCAGCAGUGGGGAAUUUUGGACAAUGGGCGCAAGCCUGAUCCAGCAAUGCCGCGUGCAGGAUGAAGGCCUUCGGGUUGUAAACUGCUUUUGUACGGAACGAAACGGCGAGCUCUAAUACAGUUUGCUAAUGACGGUACCGUAAGAAUAAGCACCGGCUAACUACGUGCCAGCCGCCGCGGUAACAC